GGUUGUUUUUUUUUUUUUCUUCUGUGUUCUCUAAGGCAAAGGAGACAUGGACCAGCAGCUAACCCUAGUGUGCUCUAGGGGUGAGGAGGUGGGCUCGCUGGAGCCCAGGACAGGGUGGGGCUGAGCAAGCCCAAAACCCUUCUCUUACAUGGGAGCUUCUCCCUCUCUGAAGAUUGGUACUUUAGGAACUCUGAGAAAGCCCAGUACUUGUCCCCCAAAAUGACAGGAAGCCUCUGUGAAGGGCAAGAGGAGGCAGGAUGACAUCACAGGAGAAGGACCAAUGGUGGAUACCCAGAUGACAGGAGGAAACAUAGCUUUAGGGAUCACAACAGAGACCCCGCAGGGUUAUUGAGAAAGAAGCCAGAAGAGUUAGUGGUCCUCCAAGGCAAAGAGAGACUUCCAGACAGCAGCCAUUCAAUUGCUGCAUUAAGCCAAAUCCCUGGGAAGAAGAUAUGGGCAUAGCAGCCCCAAGCUUGUAAGAAUAAACAGCCAGCAGGACGUGCCACGGGCCAGACUACACAGCGAUGCGUGACACCAAGUAGUCUCUGAGAUACUUAAGAGGGAAGGAAGACAAAACUCUGGCUCCUUGGGAUCCAGUCCUUCAGCUGGGAUGGAGUCAGUAGGUGGAUCAGGUUAGAAUAAAGCCCCUGCCCCACAGCAGUGCUUGGAGACGUUCUUUAGCCAUGAGGAGAUGAAUCAAAGGGAAGAGCAGGUUCCAACCAAUGGGCAUGGAACAACGGAUGCCUCCUUUGUAGUAAACAUGACGAUUGAAGCAUGAUUGUGAAGCAAUUAACUCAGGAGUAUUCAUGACACACAACAGAAGUGACAGGCUACUGACAACAGUCUGUAACAGCACCUGGGGGAGAGGGGACUUGAUUUUUACUCCUGGUGUUCUAGGGAAGUUUUGUCAGCACAGGGCACCGGCAUGGGAGAAAUGGCUGGCCACAGUUCACAGCACAGCCAGCAGCUGCCAGCAGUUUUCCAGGAAACACUCCAGAGCAGUUUGGUUGAGAGCCCUUCUGACCUCUGCCCUUCUGACCUCUGCCCUUCUGACCUGUCUGAGAACUUGAGUGCUGAUGCCCGGAGUGGGGUGGGAAAGAGGCAUGCUGCCCUCACUCCCAUCUGCCACCCCUGCUUGGACCUUUCUGCUCUGACUGUGCUAUAGCUUCUACUCCCCCACCAUACCCCCAGCCACUCUCCUGCCAACACUGACCCCUGAGAACAUACACAGACUCAGUAGGGCUGCUGGAAGUCUGAUGCUUUCCCAGGCUCCACAUCUGUGGAAGCUCAGAGGCUAUCUCCAUGUUUGGUUCCCUGGUAAUCCCAGAGGACUGUGACGACAGUCCAUUCCCAGAUGUGAGCUGCACGCAAGAGUUGACAGCUGCUGUUCCCUCUCUCUCUCUCUCUCUCUCUCUCUCUCCCUCUCUCUCUCUCUCUCUCUCUCUCUCUCUCCCCCUCUCUCUCUCUCUCUCUCUCUCUCUCUCUCUCUCUCUCUCUCUCUCUCUCUCUUACACACACACACACACACACACACACACACACCCUGCAGAUGUGCAGCUCUGCUAAACACUUUAUGAGCUAAGGCUCUUUAUCACUUAGGUGGGUAGCCUCUUGCCCUCUGGCAGCCCCUCCCUGUAGCUCCUCCUCUGAUACUAGCUCUGGAUCCAUGUGCCCCUCUGCCACACCACACCUCUUGUCCAUACCUCAUGCAUAUGUCCCUGUCACCCCUUCUCACAUGCAUAUCUGUGAACACAGGGUCUUCCAGUUUCUCUUACCCAACUCUUAUUCAUCCCUCAAUACCCAAUACUAAUGUUCCUUUUGUCCUAAGACAGCGCACGGGCUGAACUGAUCCUGUUUCAGUCACAGGGGGGUGUACCUGGCAGGCUUCUGAAGGCUCUCUCUUCUGACUCCCCUCCCAGGGCUUCCUCUUGCAAAAAGCAGGCAGCGCUGAGCGCUGCUUUAUACUCUCAAGUGCAUCUUACGGGGUGUUCCUUGGCCAUAGCUGCCAACACACUCGUGUUUUCUGAAUGAUGCUGCUGGCUGUUUGAGUCCAUUUUGGACUUUCUCAUGGUGACAACCCUUCCUCCUGGUCACGGGUCAGGAAAUGUGGCUUCUAUUUGAUGAGAUGUCAUUUGAGCUGAGCCAGCGACUCAAGUUGAACGAGGAAACCACAGGUACUGACCCCAGCUCUGGCACAUCCACCCCUGAAUUUGACAAGGAGCACCCAGACCCUGCAGCACCGUGUCCUCAUAGCGCUCACACACAGCUGUGCUCAGCCACUCGAAUCCCCGAGAUGCGGCUUCCCCACCCCCAAAUACGGGACAGUCAGUCAUCAAUCCGCAAACCAACGGAGCUUUUCUAAAACACUAAUUUCUUAAUUAUCAACUCGGAUCACUCAUUUGUCAGAUUACUGAAGGGAAACAGACGCUUCCUCGGCUCACUGUGAAUGUGUGAUAGCCAGACCCAUACCUCUGCCUGAGGAUUCCCUGGGUUUUCUUCACCCAGUGUCACUUCUUUUUUUUUUUUUUUUUUUUUUGGUUUUUCAAGACAGGGUUUCUCUGUGUAGCCCUGGCUGUCCUGGAACUCACUCUGUAGACCAGGCUGGCUUCGAACUCAGAAAUUCGCCUGCCUCUGCCUCCCAAGUGCUGGGAUUAAAGGCGUGCGCCACCACGCCCGGCCCAGUGUCACUUCUAAAGCCUCUGCAGAAGACAGGGAUUGCCCAGCCUCACAUGAUCAGAAACAUGGGCGUGUGGCACAGGAGCUCAGACUCAAUCUAGAAACCAGGGAGAUGGCUCAGUGCACAAAAGGGCUUGCCACCAAGCUUGAAGAGCAGAGUUUGAAUUCCCAGAACCAAUGUAAAAGCCAGUAGUGGCAGUGUGUAUCUGUAAUACAGUGCCCUUAUGAUGAGAUGGGAGGUGGGGACAGGACAGUCCCCAGAAGGCCUCAGGCCAGCUGGCCUUAACAGAAUAUCAGUACCACAGCAAAGAGGCCCUACCUCAAAGACAGAAGGCAAGGACUCACACCUGAAGUUAUCUCUGACCUCCUACCAUCUUUGGAACAAUGUGGGCACGUGCACCUACUUUUUCAUGAGUGAUGUAAUCUAAACAAAGACCAAGCAAUUUCCAGCGAAACCCAAUCCGCUCCAAGGACACGCCCGCCAAUGUAAAAUACACAGUGGCUUUCGGUGGCAGCUCGGGAAAAGAAUGAAGACAGAUGCAAUAGUUCUCACAGCUGUGUGCUGACACAACUGUGCUUUAGACAUUGUGGGAUACACAGAAUAUACUGCACAAGCAGCUGCUCCUAUGGCUCCUUAUAUUGUACACGUGGUCGACAGAGCAUGAGUACCGGCCAUUGUCUGGUCCAUCCAGGGAACUGCACUGGUGUCAGGUGGGAUGGGCAAGGUGGGUGGGUAGGAGAUCUCCCAGAGACUCCCUCAAGAGAUGACAGGGCUGGGCCCAGGCUCGCCCAGCAGGAGCCUCAGCUCCCACUCCCAGCCUUGGGACUUUACCAUGCAUCUUUCCAGCAUACAGUGCUCCCUUGCUUUGAAUACUUCGCAUUAUCCCUCCACUGAUGUCAGGCCUCAGGGCUCCCCAGCACCAGGAGCUCACACUCAGGGCAGACUGGGCCAGUGUGAGGGAUGUCUAGGAGUCCAGGGAGGCAGUGUCCCCAUGAGACACUGUGAAGAGGGAAGAGGGGUGGAACCUCACAGACAGGACGCCUCUCUGAGCUAAGAUAUCUCAUCUUGGGAGUACCCCAUUGUUCAAUUGGAUGAGGAAGUUUUCUGGGACUCCUCAAAGCCCUACAGGGUCUUACAGAUUUCAACUUUACUGUAAGAAGCCACCUUCUGUUACUGCCCUAUUUUCCUUCCUUCUUUUCCCCCUUCUCCCUUCCUUCUUCCCCCUCCCUAAUGAGUCAUGUUCCCACCACUAUCUUUUAUCAAAAACCCACCUGCACUCCAGAUGACAGGCGAUAUCAUGACACAGAAGCAAGCAUGAGGGAACAGAGCAGAACCCAUUAACCUAAAACAUGGGUAUGGACACAUCGUUACUGUCCAAGAGACAGACAGGCACCAAUAUGACUUCCUGGCACAGUUCACCAGGAAGAGUCCCUGUGGCAUCCAAGGAACAGAGGCACAUCCAAGGAAUAUGGGGCUGACACUCGAGGAACCCGUGAACACACACGGAGAGUUUCCCAGUGACCAGUGUCACUGGAGACAAUAAAGCAACACUAAUGUCUAGAGACGGGGCCAGGAAGCAGACCUGACACAGCACAGGCUCAGCAUUCUGCAAACCUGGCAUUGGAGUGUGUGUGUGUGUGUGUGUGUGUGUGUGUGUGUGUGUGUGUAUGACAGGAAGCUGGGACAGAGAUGUCCCAAUGGAGACGGGACCUAAGCCCAGGCAGGGACAGCUCUAACAAAACCCUUGCUGUGGUCUAGGGAGAACAGGAACCUGUGGAGGAGUUGCAGAGGGAUGGUGGGCCAGGGUGGGGGACUGCUGUCCAUCCUGUGGGUAGAGCAACUGGGGCUCAGCCUGAAGACACCAGCUCUGAAUUUACCCGGAGGAGCUUGAGCUGAGCAGCCAGGCCAGGCAGGCUGAUAUAGGCUUCCCUUCGGUGUUUACCUUGCCCUCGUCCCUCUGUCUAAUUCCUUAAUGCUGGUGACAAAGACACCUCUGAACUCAACUUCAGCCCACACUUGAUCUGAUUGUCAGGGAGAGAUUUCCUCUCCUACUGAGCCACUCAGUGGCACUGAACCCACUCUGAUUGUCAAGGACAUGGCUGGGGGGGUGGUCACUGUGACCUGUUUACAUGAUGAGGCUGGGGACAUACCUGGAGGGGCUAACUUGCUAAGGACAGCAGCUUCAGUGGCAGGCUCCUGCGGCCUGGGGACACAGCCAGAGAGCUCAUGUUCUUGUGAAGGCAGAUGGCACCUCAGAAACCAGUGCCAUUGAACCUGAAGAUGACAGGCACCCAGUGUGGACCUGAGAUGGCUGUUGUCACUCACAGGCUAUACAUACAAGUAGAUCAAGGGAUACUCUGGAAAGAUUAGAGCCAUCUAUUGGAGGGGCAUGGGCUGGGGAGGAGAGUCUGAAGGUGGCUGCUGGGAGCCAUUUCUGAUGCUGAGAUGAACAUUGCUCAGACAGGCUCUCCUCUGGGCAGAGUUUCAAAUCUCAAAAACAAGAAAUUCUUGGCUUCCUUUAAAAAAAAAAUCAUCCAAACAAAGAGACUCUGUGUGUUUACGGUUAUUUGUUGGGAAUGUUUAAAGCAUGCAGGCUAAUCAGUGCAGACUCAGUAAAGCCCCUGGCUGGGGAUUGAUAAUGGAGAGCCAGAAUUUAGAAGGUGACGUCAGAAGCCCGCUCCAUCCCCGUGAGGUGUGCGUGUCUGUGUGCUGGACACGUCUCAUCUUCAAGGCCAUUAUCAUUAAACAUGCAAAAAACCAACACAGUCCCAGACUCGUUCCCAAGGGUGAGAAGACAGAACUGUGAAUAUCUUCAUCUCACUCAUCUCAAGCAAGUACUAUUUACAUUAAAUUUUCAAUUGCAAACACAGAGUUUCACAUGAGAACGUCUGGGUUAACAUGUGUGGCUACCUGUUCAGCACCUCUUUUCAAACAUUUGCAAGGGGCAGCAUAUGGGACUAGAACGUGAGCAUUGCCCACGUGCUGGGGCAGAGGCAGGGAUAGGCACUCUGCAACUUCCAGUGACGGCUGAACAACUAAAAGGACUUAGGUCCUCAGCUGCAAAUGACCUAUGUCCCCACCUUGCCUGUUAUGCAUGCCAUAGGGAGCCUGGAACCUUCCAGUGCGGGCUGCCCUUGGGUUUUGUGGGACACAGGGUACCUAAGUGAGGAGGCUUUGGUCAAGUGUCUGACAUGCUUAGUGGGCAGCCUCAAGCCAGGCUCGAUUCUCCAGGUCGCUGGCCUCUAGGAUACCCAUGCAAGGGGUCUCCACAGAUCAAGCUCGUGACCCAGGCAGGGAUCCUAUGUCUCUGCCUUUGCCUAUGCAUACUGCAGCCCCACCUUGGUCCUAUCCACUGCCUAUCAUGGUCUGAGGACUUCUCCACAAGGCGCUCCCUUUCAUCCAAGUCUGGCAUGGUUCUGGGUUCUAGUCUCACAGAUCUUCCUAGGCACUAACAAAUAGCAUCUCAAGCAGCAGGCAGGCCCUGAUACUUGGCGGGGCCUGGGAGGAAGUGACUUCCCACCAAUCAUAGCAGAAGACCGAAUCUGUACUCUUAUCUGUCGCUGCCUACCAUGGUCUAUCUUAAGGACUCUCAGUAGAGAUGAUGUUGUCCAUACCAGGGUAUAGGGAAGAGGAAGACAGGAGACAGAAAGAGGGUCUUCAGUACCAGCUCACUUAUCCAUCUGUUCAUCCAUCCAUUCACCUACCCAUUUAUCCAUCAAUUUAUUCAUCCAACACCCAUCCAUCCAUCCAUCUCUCCAUCCAUCCAUCCAUCCAUCCAUCCAUCCAUCCACCUAUCCAUCCAAUCAUGAAACCCAAUAGUGCUCACUCAUGUCCUAGGAAGGCAGCCAUAUGAUGAGGCAGUAUGCAUGGUUAAUGAUGGUUGGUGUAGUAACUGUGGAGGCAGAAGGCAUGAGUACUCAAAGUGGUGUUUCCCAAUCAGAAGUGGCUAUGAGGACCCCAUCUCCAAUGUCUGUGUGAGGCGCCUGCCAGUCAUCCCUGAGGUCCAAGUUGAGGAUUCUAGCUUGUGGGGCACACCUCACAGUAGAGAAUGGUCAAGGUCUUGGAACCCUCAUUCAAGAAGCUUGGGAGAGUCUCCGGUACAGAUCUGGUGGCUGUACUGUGACAGUGAGGAGGGUAUGGUCAGGGUGACUGGCCCUGGUGGUGUUUUUCUUCCUGGAUCUUAGGUCUGGAGUACUGCCUCCUCUUGGCACACACAGACACCCUCUAUGACCUUAGAAGGGGCGAACCUGGAAAGAGGAGCCUCCAGGAGGAUGGAUAGUUCUCCUAUCUUCCAGAUUCCACCGUUCAAACAUGGCCAAGUUUAUGUGUCCACAGACCCCCCAUGAAGGGAACACCCUCUGCUACCUGCUCAUUAAGCAUGGUGAUAACCUUGUCUUCUGAGUUAUGUCUCUCGCCUUCCCUGUCCUGGGUUGAGGCUAUCUCUUGCACCUAUCCAUACAUAGUACUGCAUGCUAGGCUGAGCCCAUGUGUAAUGACAGAGAGCAUUCCCAGAGCUUCCUGUUUCUGCAUGCCUCAAGAACAAACCAGAAUGAGGGAGAUUAGGCUAAGACUGCAGGUCAGAAGAUAGAGACUGUGGCAGGAUCUUAUCAUAGCUGGGAGCUGAGAUUUUCAGAGAGAGAGAGUGGCUGUGGACCUGCUCCUGAAGCACCCACUUGCCUUGGGAUAAAAAGGGACGGUGGCUCCUCAUCCAGCCAGACCAUAAUACAGAUGAACUAGCUCCCUGUGCUUUCCCCUCCAACACCUUACCUGGGUUUUCUAGCACUAACCCCGCCCCACCCCACCAAUAGUAGAAUGGAACAAUGGCUUUCUGAUCCACACAUGCCCACCCUUUGCUUGAAAUCUGUAGCCCACGAGAAGCCAGAAGCCGGCCACUUCCUAGGUCACUAUGCCUCUCUGAUCACUUCCAGUUUCCCCAGGCCUGCCUCCCAAGGCUAAUUGUCCUCUACAGUGCCUCUGGGAAGUAUCAUUCACGUCUAGGAGCAAAUUCACUUCUCUUUAAGAAAAUGAAUGGGCUAUGGUAUGUAGGGAUCUCCCACUAUUGGGAUGUAUAUGGCUGGUCUGUAUGGAGGGUGCUGCUGGUGUCAUCUCUGUUGAUAAGUGGAAACCAACUCCAGCUCUGGAGGUUGGUGGCCAGCUGAGUAGGCGCAUGAGAUGACAAGACUCACUAGCCAUGGCAGAGCAAGAUGUGAUUAAUCUGCCCAUGUGUCCUGUCACCAUUCUCCCAGUGCCUGCUCUCCCAGGGGCUUUAAUAGGCCCAUAAGUUAAGACUUUUAGAUUCUAAAGAAAGCAGGCAGCUUGCCCCAGGCCUCCUUAACACUCUCUCAGUCACCAGAAACCCAAGAGAAUGGAGUUCCUUGCAUGCUCUAUCAAUAACACUGUCAACCAAGCAAUGAGCCCUAGUGUCAGUAUAUCUCUGGGGCAGAGGUCCCCAUAUCAUCUCCUGCAACUGAUGAAGCUGUUGCACUCCUUUGAGAGUGGCUUGGAGCUUCUGGACCUGUCUUAAGCAGAGUUAGAGAACCAAAUGCAUGCCCUUUUGGCCACCACUAAUGAAUGGACCGUUUUCUCUAAAAGCUGUACCCACAGAUGCACAGAAAGGAGGCUCCCAGCUGCUGAUAGAACUGUCUGGUAUGAGUUUUCGGUGUUUCUCUGGUUUAGCACAUUCAUCUUCUGUGAUCACAUGACACCCAGUCUCCUGCCUCAAACCGUGGUCUACAAAUAGAGCAGGGUCUCAAGAAAAUCAAAAAUGAUCCUUGGAGAGCCAUUGACACUGUCCAGAGAGGGGACAGAAGUUCUGGGCAACACAUGUACAUUUCAGUUAGUGGUAUGCACAUAAGAGUAGAUAUUUGUGUGUCUCUGUGCAUAGAGCAACUCCACAUAUGUGUGCACAGACAUGUGUGGUGUGAAUGUGGCCUGGAGCAUGCAGCCCAGGGAAUCCUGCAGAGCUGAGCCUUGCAACACUGACUCUCAAGUGAGGCUCCCAGGCUCCCUGGGGAGCUCUGAGGGUGUAGGCUGAGAGUCCCUCCCAUAUCAUUCAGUGUCCCUGAGGCUUUCCCCUUAUGGUAGCCGUCUGCAGCUGCUGUCAUUGACUCCAGAAUCCACUGCCUAGAAUGUCACCUCUCCCCACCCCCGCCCCCAGCAACCACCACUCCCAUGAAUUCCUGAGGAUAAUACAUGCCUGGAUGCCAAACUUAAGCACACAUGUUUCAGUGGUGUACACUGGGGCACAGGGACUGUGUGCUCGUGACUUGGGUGACACUGGCAAGAAGUACAGACCCUGUGUUGCUCCCUUAUUUUGCGGCUACCCCAGCCCAACCAGAAGCACUAGAGGACAGGAGUGUGGGGCUGGCCCCAGAUUACAAUUUCUUCACAGAGGCGGCUUCACACUAUUCUCCUCCCUAAGCUCAGUACAUCACAUACCAGAAGCCUCCCAGAAUGGCAAACAGGCCAGCGAGGCCAGGUCUUGGGGAGUGGAUGGGUGGUGAAGUACAGUGAAGGUCCCCUCCCUGAUACCUGGUGGCAGAGGGUGGGCUCGGGGGACAUUGAGGAGGAUUGGCUCUGCAGCAGGGACUCUGAUGAGCUCAGCAUCUAUGCGACAGCGAUAGUGGAGGAGACAGAGCUCCUUGGAAAGGAGCUGGAAUCUGAGGAGCAAUGCCGAGCCGGCAGAAGGGGGACGUUGGAGCAAGAUGCAGGGUGAGUGGCUGGGGCCAAGAAGGCACUGAAUACAGAUGCUUCCAGAAUCUGUGGUAGUGUCUGUCUUUGAGCUUGACCCCCAAGGCCUUCAAACUCCGGCUGUACAAGGGAGUCUGUGGCCCAGCUGGUGGGAGAUACAGAGGAUGCUGAAGUUUCAGCCCACGUUCUCAGUUAGUCAAGGCAUGGAGCAAUACCUGGGAAAUGCAGACCAAGGGACAGCAAGCAAUGCUCUGAUAUGGAACCAAGCCAGCUCUAGAGAGAUGACACCCUGGAGAAGAUUAUCAGAGCUGCCUUCUGGACUCUGAGCCGGAUGGAACUGAUUUAGCUGCCAGCUCACUGCCCCUCCUCCCUGCCAGUGUGCUGGAUGCUGCCUCCAGUACAGAAGAUGGAAAUACCUUGGAUAAGUAUUACAUGAUCUCCCCCAAGGACCCCACUGACAGUUUCAAAUACACUCCUCAAAAUUAGCCAAAGCAACAAGAACUGAGGGAUAAAUACCUCACACCAGACCACUGUCCCAAAGCAGGAACAGACCAGUGAUCCAGAUAGCCACAGAGAACCAGAUCUCUAGGGUUGGACACCCUGGCCUGGCACAUCAUACAUACAUACAUACAUACAUACAUACAUACAUACAUACAUACAUACCUUCCUUUUGUUAGCUGGGCAGAUAUAGAAGUUGUCAAUGACAGUGGUGACACCAGGCUGGAGAGUAAGCUUGGUGUAGGUUGUCCCAAAAUCUGAGGACCUAUGGGAACAGAGAGACAACCAUUAGCACAUGCCCUCCAGGGAUAGGCUUUGCAGCAGGUGGUGUGCCAGCAGCUGGCAGAGCUGAGAACUGGGUACGGUGUUAUCCUCUCCAUCCUUCCAAGGGGAGCAUGCCCCUGCCCCAAUUGCAGGUAGGAGCCCAGGUUCCUUUGUGGACAGCAGGUUUGCUAAGGUUUAUGGUCCAGGUCUGGAAUGAGGACUACAAGUCAGAACUACUUGUUUGUUGUUUUGUUUGUUGGAGAAAGGAUUUAUCUGUGUAGCCUGGAUGUCCUGGAACUCACUCUGUAGGCUAGGCUGACCUUAAGCUUUGAGAUCAGCCUGCUUUUGCCUCACAAAUGCUGGGAUUAAUGGUGUGUACCACCGCCACUCUCAGAUGUCAGAACUUAUUGAUUCUCCCCCCUCUACAGUGCUUCACAAAACCCCGAAGAUCUAUGCUGUUUUGCCCAUCUCACAGAGGAGCGGUAGGCACCCAGUUCAAUUUCCAGCCCCCACAAGGCUGUUCAUAACUAUUUGUAAUUCCAGUUCCAGGGGAUCUGACAUUCUCACAUACACAGACAUAACAGAAAGAGAACACCAGUUCAUAAAAUAAGCUUAAAAUAAUAAAAACACAUCUAAAAUAGGUGGGAAAUAUAGACUAUGCCAAGUGUACUGGGGGAGUCAGGUGGGAUAGGGGCUCUGGCUGUGGUCAGUGUUUCUGCCUAAGAUCUAUCUCAGCACCAUGUGGCACUUGGGCAUGAACCCUGGCUGGGAUACUGCCUGCCACCUGCCCUUGCUGUGUGGCCUCAGCUGCAUCUUCCCUUCUCUGGGCCUACAGAGAAGCUAGGGGAGGCCAGGGCUUCUUGCUCUGGGCCUGAAAUGAGGCCAUGACACUGUAGUGUAAACACUCCACCCCACAGGGCCUUUCGAUCCCCUUCCUCAGUCUAUGCUCACUGUUCUGUAGAGCUAGCUCCUUCCUGGAUCUUCGAGUGAAGCAGUUCCAGGAAGAUGGCAGAGCUUACUAUUACUGGGCUUGGUGGCCACACCCAAGGUCCUUUAUAAACCUCAGGGUCACAAGGUCCCUGACAGCCUCCUCCCCAUCUUCGGAUUCUCAGGGUUGCCCCUGCAGGGGUAUAUUCCCUGGAGACCAUCUGGGGUCUGGCUACCCCAGGCCUCCCUGGGAGGACUGGAGCAAGAGAACAAAGAUAACACCAUGAUCCUGCCGUCUAAUCAGGGCACAUUUGCUCUCCAAACCGCAGAGAAUUGAUUUUCAUUGGUAAGGGGGAAGUGAGAGGCCCCAUUAGCAGAAAUCGAUCCACGCGCCCCAGAGCCCUGUAGAAACAAUGGUUGUUUAUAAGCUCAGUGCCCAUAGCCUAAUGCAGAUGGAUCCCUGGCUGCCCUUUUCUGAUCCUGAUCCCAAGACCUGAUCCUGUUCUGCAGCCCCUCAGAGCCCACCCCUUCCCUGCUCCUCUCUGCCUCAGCCCCGGUCCAUCUGCCCCAGCUUCUUCCUUAUCCUCCUCACUACAGGAGCUAAGACAGCAGCACCCAUGGGUGUGGGAUAGCCACAGAGAACAGCGCCCAGUGGGUGCCCCUGUGGUCUAGGACAUAUAUCAAGGGAGGGAAACAGGCACUUGCUUAGGAAGGUAACGAAAUGCUAGCAGAGGAGGAGGAGCAAUACAGGCACCAGGGGACCCAGAGGUUGUGGGAUCACUGGGUCACAGACAUGCAGGGACAAAGAGACAUGCAAGGGGACCUGAGGCAAGAAGGGAUAGACUGUGUCUUUGAGGGAAAGGUACCUGCCCCUGGUUGACCAGUAUCUUUGAAAACACAUCAGCCAAGAACAAGAGUGAAAUAUAGCUCUCACAGAUGUCAUCACGAUAAGGGAAGGCCACACUGGAGGGGCCACGUGAAAACAGAGAUACAUAUAUACGGGAGAGAGAUACUGACAGGCAGGCAGACAGAUAGACAGACAGAUGAGGGACCAUGGAGGAGAGACAGAGACAGAAACAGAAACAGACUGAGACAGAAAGAGGAGACCCUGAGGCACAGGCUGGGGAGGGGCAGACAGACAGGGUAGAAACCCAGAGAGACAGACUGAGACACAGAAAUAAAGGAGGGAGUAGGUCAGACAGAAUAAUAAAGAGGCAGGAGGGGCGACAAGAGGGAAGCAUUGCAACUGAAGGUCCACAGGACCCUGGCAAGUGCUGAGGGAAUAGUAACAAGGAUACCCACAGUGCCCAGCUGCGCCUCAGACCCCAGCUGCCUUGCACCUCACCUUACACAGCCUGACCUGCCUACUCUCCCAAUCUCCACAUUCCAUCUAACACCUCCCUGCCCAGGCCAGGACCUUCAGGUCCACAGGCCCUGAGGUGUUCCUAGGCAGCAGAAAGGCUUAGAAUGUGGGGAGGGGCACAGUGCACAGGCAACCUCUCUCCUCGGGAGGCUGUGAGUCCCUGAGGCUGAUGUAACAAACUCCCACAUCACGGUGCUUAAAAUAUGGCGGACUCAGAAAGUUCGGGGAAGUCAGAAAUGGGGAUUCUAGGGGCUAAAAUGGAGGUGCUGAUUUCUUCUGGAAACUGAGAAGCCUACGUCCUUGCCUGCCCCACCCUCCAGAGCAGUGGUUCUCAACCUGUGGGUCAUGACCCCUCUGGGGGCUGAAUGACCCUUUCACAGGGGUCCCCUAAGACCACUGGAAAACACAGAUGUUUCCAUUACACUUCACAACAGUAGUACAAUUACAGUUAUGGAAUAGCAACAAAAUAACUAUUGGUAGGAGGUCACCAGGACAGGGGUAGCAGCAUUAGGACAGCUGAGAACCACUGAUCUCCUGGGCUUGCGGCCUGCCUCUGUUUCUGAAGCCCAUUCCCCAGGCUCUGUGUGUAGCGUGACAUCAACACUUCUGACCAAAGUUCCUCCUCUCCUGGUCCCCGUGAUUACCCAGGACUCAAAAGACAAUCCCAAGAGCCACCCUCAGGAAUGCUCGGUCCCACAUGCUGAGUCCCUGCCUCCCAGUGAGGAAACAUCUGUGCAGGUCCUAGGGUUAGGAGGCAAUAGCAUGAAUAACAGCAUCACACUAUCACAAGGUGGGCACUUGCGCCUGGUCUGCAGUACACGUAGGCGUGUGACGGGUUCAGUGCAUGACAGCUAAUGGGCUGGAGUGCCGUCAGGGGACAGUCAGGUCAGACAAACAAGAGCAGCCCAGGGGAGAGGUAGAGGGGCUGGACCAGCCUUACAACAGCCACUGGCAGCCUGAGUCCACAGCACUUGGAAUGGGUGGCCCAUCUGGCCCAAAGCAGCAAAACUGUAAAACACUGAUUUCAAAAGCUCAGGGCCCAGAAAGAAUGUAAAAUACCUCAUUGUCAGUUUUAUGUAGAUUGCAUAUUGACAUACUAAUAUUCUGGAUAUAUUGAGUUAAUUAAAAUCAUUACUAAAAUUAAUUUCACCUGCUCCUAGUUUUAGUUAAUAGACUUCACUUUAUUGCACUCUCCAGAUAACUACAAAACGGUGAGGUAAGCCCAGAAUACCCACACCCCUGGCUCUACACACAGCCCCUCUCUGCCACUCCCCUCCCUCCCUCAGAGGAUACAUUU